rnacentral:tRNA from 1 species
GAGGACAUAGCUCAGUGGUAGAGAGCAUGCUUAGCAUGCACGAGGUCCUGGGUUCAAUCCCCAAUACCUCCA